rnacentral:rRNA from 1 species
CUACGGGCCGCAGCAGUGAGGAAUAUUGCACAAUGGAGGAAACUCUGAUGCAGCAACGCCGCGUGGAGGAUGACGCAUUUCGGUGUGUAAACUCCUUUUAUAUGUCAAGAAAAUGACGGUAGCAUAUGAAUAAGCACCGGCUAACUCCGUGCCAGUAGCCGCGGUAAUACGGAGGGUGCAAGCGUUACUCGGAAUCACUGGGCGUAAAGGACGCGUAGGCGGGAUAUCAAGUCAGGUGUGAAAUCCUACAGCUUAACUGUAGAACUGCACUUGAAACUGGUAACCUAGAGUAUGGGAGGGGGAGAUGGAAUUAGUGGUGUAGGGGUAAAAUCCGUAGAUAUCACUAGGAAUACCUAAAGCGAAGGCGAUCUCCUGGAACAUAACUGACGCUAAGGCGUGAAAGCGUGGGGAGCAAACAGGAUUAGAUACCCGGGUAGUC